AAUAACCUUGUGAAAUUUCAUAUUUGCCAAACUAAUCCUGUAAAAAUUUUAUUUGUGAAACUAACCCUCCUCUCGCCACCUCAGCGGCCAGAUCAGCAUUUCUCAUAAAGACGGUGAAUCGUUCACCGUCUUUAAGCAACUCUUGAAAGCGGUAAAUGGUUGACCGUCUUCUCUAGGCCUACGAUAAAGGUGCCUAGAGAAGACGGUCACUCGUUCACC
rnacentral:lncRNA from 1 species